rnacentral:rRNA from 1 species
UACGUAGGGUGCAAGCGUUAAUCGGAAUUACUGGGCGUAAAGCGUGCGCAGGCGGUUUCGCAAGUCAGAUGUGAAAUCCCCGGGCUCAACCUGGGAACUGCAUUUGAAACCACGGGGCUAGAGUGUGUCAGAGGGGGGUAGAAUUCCACAUGUAGCAGUGAAAUGCGUAGAGAUGUGGAGGAAUACCGAUGGCGAAGGCAGCCGCCUGGGAUGACACUGACGCUCAUGCACGAAAGCGUGGGGAGCAAACAGG